CCACCGCCGCCACCCCUGGCCGCCGAGGCCUCCGCGACGCCUGUCUCGGCUCCGGGAACGCGGCGGGCGGGCGGCAAAACCCGGUCUGGAAGGGGGUGGGGAUCACACGGCGUGGCUUAAAGGCCCCGCUCCGGCGUCCUCCACCAGGCUGGAGAAGCUGCCGAGUUCCCAGGCGGGGCCCCGGAGGCAAAGGCUCGGCCGAGGGCAAAGCCAUGUCUGCGGUUGCCAGGACCUGAAGAUGUAUGAGCGACCUGAACCGUCUCUGGAAAAGUCAUAUUUUCCAGGCUUUCGUGAAGUAGUCAUCGCUCCUGUUCUAAAUCUGGAGGCGGCUGCGUAUCUAUUUCAGUGAGAGAGGAAGAUGUAAAAACUAGACCGGACUCGGGGAAACGUGGGCAGCGAGUGGGGUUGGAUCGCGCCUGAGGUCCACUCAGUCCCCGUGACUCCUCAGACCUGGGUGUCUUCAUCAGCUUAGGGAUUGGCUGAAGCAAGUCUCCAUAUUUUGAAGCUCAGGCCCCUUGUGUUGCAACAGGAGUGUCGUUGGUCAUAUCGGGCAUCCUCCUCCAGAGAACUGAAGAACACCCCUCCGGAGUCAGGAUGACCUGAGGGCUACACAAGGCUCAUUUUUCAUUCCCUGUGCCAUCUGGCUCCGGCAGCCACAAGACCUUUCUGGGCCUGAAUAACUUCAUCUGUGCAAUGAAGGUAGAGUUAAGCUGUGCCUCAAAGAACUAUCUCCCAAGUGCUGGGAUGGCAGGCUUCAUGCCCCACUGGCUGGUUGGAGUGAAACAUGGUCACAUCCACAUGGCAGUAGGCUCUGUCUCCACCACCAUGGCCAAGCGCCACCUCUGAGGAGCUAGGAGCACCCAAAGGACCCAGGACCACAGACUAUGACCAUGUCUGUGCUGGAGUGAGACCACUAGAAGAUAAUAACCACGUUCUUCUCAUGUAAAACCAGGGUUCUGCUCGAGCAACCCUUCUAGCAGCCCUACUUAGGAGGCAGAAGCAAGAUGCUCUUAAGUUUGAAGUAGGCCCUGGAUACAAGUUAAACCUUUUCUGAAAAUUAAUAAACAAAUAUUAAAGAAGCAUUUUUCAACAAAGAAUCACUAUAGUAGAACCAGUGUUUUACCCUCUUUGUCUCAAAAAU
rnacentral:lncRNA from 1 species